AUUGAACGCUAGCGGGAUGCCUUACACAUGCAAGUCGAACGGAGUGGCGAACGGGUGAGUGAUGUAUCGGAACGUGCCCAGUAGCGGGGGAUAACUACGAGAAAGCGUAGCUAAUACCGCAUACUAUUAGAGCGGGGGAUAUCGGAUUAGCUAGUUGGUGGGGUAACGGCUCACCAAGGCGACGAUCCGUAGCUGGUUUGAGAGGACGACCAGCCACACUGGGACUGAGACACGGCCCAGACUCCUACGGGAGGCAGCAGUGGGGAAUUUUGGGCAAUGGGCGAAAGCCUGAUCCAGCCAUCCCGCGUGUGCGAUGAAGGCCUUCGGGUUGUAAAGCACUGUUGGCAGGAAAGCGGUACCUGCAGAAUAAGCACCGGCUAACUACGUGCCAGCAGCCGCGGUAAUUC
rnacentral:rRNA from 1 species